CAACCCUCAAGCUCUGCUUGGUAUUGGGCGUCACCCUCUGGGGUGCGCCUUAAAAUCAGUGGCGGUGCCACUCGGCUUCAAGCGUAGUAAUUCUUCUCGCUCUGGAGGACCGGGUGUGUUCUAGCCAGCAACCCCCAAUUUUUUAA
rnacentral:misc_RNA from 1 species